GCAGUAGCGUGGCAGGAGGAGAGCGGGGAGGACAGCGUAGGGGCUGCGGUGCCCCCCAACCCCAUUCCCGAACCCCAUUUCCCCGGCGAUGCGGGAAGAGACGAAGGCACGAUGGCAGCAGGAAAGUCCCGGCACGGCUGAAAAAAGGAAAUAAAAAUACCCACAGUGAACCUAAAAUUACUAAAAAAUCAGGUAAAAAAUAAAAAGGGGGGGGGGGGAGGGAAC